GACGAACGCUGGCGGCGUGCUUAACACAUGCAAGUCGAACGGAAAGGCCCCUCUCGGGGGGUGCGCGCGAGGCGCGAGCGGGUGUAACACAUGAGUAACAUCUCCUUUUGAUUUUGGUAAAUUUAGAGGAAACGGGGUAUUAUACCGGAUAGGAUCCUGCUGUGUGUGGUGGGUUGUAGAGAGUUGGCGGUGGUGGGUGUGUUCGCGGCUCAUAAGCUUGUUGGUGGGGUAGUGUCUCACCAAGGGUUUUACGGGUGGCCGGCGUGGGGGGGGGACCGGCCAAAUUGGGAUUGAGUUACGGCCAGAACUCCUAGGGGAGGCAGCGGUGGGGAAUAUUGAACAAUGGGCGGAAGCCUGAGCCAGAAACGCCGCGUGCGGGAUACCGGCCUUCGGGUUGUAAACCGCUUUCGCCUGUGACGAAGCGUGAGUGACGGUAAUGGGUAAAGAAGCACCGGCUAACUACGUG
rnacentral:rRNA from 1 species